CCUCACUUAACCCUAAAUGUCCUGUGUGCCUAAGCUUAGUGAAUGCACUAACUAUAAUGAAAGUGUAAAACUAGUUUGACUUACCUUCCAGGACCUUGCUGUGGAGGAGUAGCAGGAGUGCUAGCACGCAUGUGCAGCACAGGAUCCAGCUGAUUCCCCUCCCCGGAAGUGACGGGGGUAUAGCAAUCUGACGGAGUAUAGCAGACUGAUAGAACACCG